rnacentral:rRNA from 1 species
GAGUAACACGUGGGUAACCUGCCUCAAAGUGGGGGAUAGCCUUCCGAAAGGAAGAUUAAUACCGCAUAAAGCCAAGUUUCACAUGGAAUUUGGAUGAAAGGAGUAAUUCGCUUUGAGAUGGACCCGCGGCGCAUUAGUUAGUUGGUGGGGUAAUGGCCUACCAAGACAGCGAUGCGUAGCCGACCUGAGAGGGUGAUCGGCCACAUUGGAACUGAGAUACGGUCCAGACUCCUACGGGAGGCAGCAGUGGGGAAUAUUGCACAAUGGGCGAAAGCCUGAUGCAGCAACGCCGCGUGAGUGAUGAAGGUCUUCGGAUUGUAAAGCUCUGUCUUUUGGGACGAUAAUGACGGUACCAAAGGAGGAAGCCACGGCUAACUACGUGCCAGCAGCCGCGGUAAUACGUAGGUGGCGAGCGUUGUCCGGAUUUACUGGGCGUAAAGGGUGCGUAGGCGGAUGUUUAAGUGAGAUGUGAAAUACCCGGGCUUAACUUGGGUGCUGCAUUUCAAACUGGAUAUCUAGAGUGCAGGAGAGGAGAAUGGAAUUCCUAGUGUAGCGGUGAAAUGCGUAGAGAUUAGGAAGAACACCAGUGGCGAAGGCGAUUCUCUGGACUGUAACUGACGCUGAGGCACGAAAGCGUGGGUAGCAAACAGGAUUAGAUACCCUGGUAGUCCACGCCGUAAACGAUGAGUACUAGGUGUAGGAGGUAUCGACCCCUUCUGUGCCGCAGUAAACACAUUAAGUACUCCGCCUGGGAAGUACGAUCGCAAGAUUAAAACUCAAAGGAAUUGACGGGGGCCCGCACAAGCAGCGGAGCAUGUGGUUUAAUUCGAAGCAACGCGAAGAACCUUACCUGGACUUGACAUCCCCUGAAUAACCUAGAGAUAGGCGAAGCCCUUCGGGGCAGGGAGACAGGUGGUGCAUGGUUGUCGUCAGCUCGUGUCGUGAGAUGUUAGGUUAAGUCCUGCAACGAGCGCAACCCUUAUUGUUAGUUGCUAACAUUCAGUUGAGCACUCUAACGAGACUGCCGCGGUUAACGCGGAGGAAGGUGGGGAUGACGUCAAAUCAUCAUGCCCCUUAUGUCCAGGGCAACACACGUGCUACAAUGGGCAGAACAAAGAGAAGCAAUACCGCGAGGUGGAGCCAAACUCAAAAACUGCUCUCAGUUCGGAUUGCAGGCUGAAACUCGCCU